rnacentral:rRNA from 1 species
AGCAGCCGCGGUAAUUCCAGCUCCAAUAGCGUAUAUUAAAGUUGUUGCAGUUAAAAAGCUCGUAGUUGAAUUUCGGGAUCAGAUUGUCGGUCGUGCCUCGGUACGCACUGGUAUUAUUGGUUCCUACCUUCUGAAGAACCGCGAUGUCAUUAAUUUGGUGUCGUGGGGAAUCAGGACUGUUACUUUGAAAAAAUUAGAGUGUUUAAAGCAGGCUUACGCUUGAAUACAUUAGCAUGGAAUAAUGAAAUAGGACGUUUGAUUCUAUUUUGUUGGUUUCUAGGAUUGACGUAAUGAUUAAUAGGGAUAGUUGGGGGCAUUAGUAUUCAAUUGUCAGAGGUGAAAUUCUUGGAUUUAUUGAAGACUAACUACUGCGAAAGCAUUUGCCAAGGAUGUUUUC